GCAUAAAGAACAGGGGCCAAUUAGCAGGUGUACCAAGGACACAUCAUCAGUCCACUACAGAUGAAACAACCAUUCACACUCAAUUCUCUAAAAACAGGCAAAUUUAGAGGAUCCACUGACUCUAACCAUCAUAUUUUUGGACUGCAGGAAGAAGCUUGAAAGGUAUUUAGGCUGACCCCUCAGUCAUGGCAAAGGGUUGCUGUGUGAGGUGGGAGCACAGUAGUGUGGAAGCUGUAGCUCAGAAGAGGAACUGCGCCUCAAAGGCGGAGCUAGGUCCACCUGGCGUUUUGCACAGCAAAACGCAUGUUUGAGAAAUCCAGAAUUUCUCAAACAUGCAUGAAGGAAUCAAGGCAACACUCCAGGUAUGAUUUGGAUGAGGUAGUGAUGGGUCUGGCAACACCGAUGCAUCGGCGCAUGCAUCAAGCCCAUUGACCAAAAUCCGUGUCAGUGCACGUAUUGCUUUCAGCAAGUCAUGUGACCGAUACAGGAACUGUUUUGAAAUGACACUGAUGCACCAAACUGUGUUUAUAAGAAAGCAAAUCUGUCAACGAAAUGCAUUUGCCAAAAGAAUUCUUGAUCUUUUAUGGUACAGCGUCAACUAUGGAGCAACCCAACCUCAAGGCAAAUGAAAGGUUUCCGCAGUGUGGGACCAUUUUGAUCUUACAUCGGAAAAUAAGAGGCUCUACUGAAUUUCAUCGUGAAGGAUUGCCAGCCUCUGAGCAUUGUGGAGACUGAAGGGUUUAAGGAACUGGUUCAAAUCCUUGAACCUUCAUAUGUUUUGCCAACCAGAAAGAACAUCAAACCAAAAAGUGGCCAAAAAGUAUGAAGAGGAACGGAAACGAGUGAAAAUGGAAGUACAGCAAGCUGUGGCAUUCCUCCAAAGGCAAUGAUGCCAUCAGACUGCGGUCAGAAUCGGACGCACAAAUGAGCCCCAGCCGCGACCGUCUUCACAACAGCUGUCUGCACCCAACUCAGAUAGCCUUUGGCACCAUCUUGACACUGAAGUAGGCAGGCAGACCAAAAGUGCCACAGCUGAUGCCAUCCAGAAUGUGCAGAGAUACCUUGCAGAGGGCAAUAUUGCCAGAUGUCAGGACCCAAUGACAUACUGACAGAACCAAAAGACAAUUUAUCCUAACCUCUUCUGGUUGUCAUUGCAAUACCUUUGCAAUCCAGCCUCAUCUGUGCGGUGUGAGAGGGUGUUUUCUACAGCAGGAGAAGUUGUGUCAAAAAAGUGUAAGACUAAAUUUCAAAAUGUUGUGUAACACUUAUGGGCUAGGCAGCUAA